UUUGAUGUUUAGUUAUUUCAUCCUACAGUAAACUGAAAAUCUUUCCCGCAGAAAGAAGCGCGAAAGAAAGCGCACGCAGGGAGAAGAAAACCGCUCUCUUUUCGAACACCGGUGUUUUGAUGGGUUGACAUUACGAUGGCAUUACACGUGAAUGCUAGUGAUGACAACUGAUCAUGCAUCGGUGCUGGCGCUUUUCUGUGGUUUGCCUGCCAGUGGGAAAACUACACUGGUACAAAGCAUUUGCACUGCAUUGGAAAGUCGUGGAACAGCACCAGCGCACGGCUUGCCUUGGUACCCAUGUGUCAUUUGCUAUGACGAACUCGUGAGCACGGAUGCACAAGCCGAAAUGGCACACAGCAAAGGUCUCACUAAGGAAUCCCGUCAGCAUUUGCUUGAAGCAGCUGACCACUACAUCGGAUGGCUUUGUGGAGCCUGUUGUGAGCCAAGCCCCAUGUGUACAGACCCUGUGAAGGAAAUGCUUAGCCAAUUAAAGACUGCAAGAAGGCAACUGCAACCUGAUGAAAAGCCUUUGAUCAUGGUUGAUGACAAUCUCUACUAUCGCAGCAUGCGGACUGCAUGGUUCAAGCUGGCCCGGAAGUACUCUUUGGGCUUCUGCCAGGUAUUUCUACUCUGCUCUACAGAAGAGGCUAUUCGAAGAAAUGGCUCUCGGGUCUUACCUGUGCCUGAACUGACAAUUAAGACUAUGGCGCAAAAAUUUGAGCUGCCUCGCGAUGAGCCUUGGGAACAGCACUCCGUAGCCGUUGAUGGAGGGCCAGGCAGCAUGGACAAAGUAAUGGCCAUUCUAGAGAUUGCAUCAAAGGACCCAUGGUCACCCGUGGAUACUGCGGGUUGUAUCACGGAACCAACACCUGCCAGUCAGAUUCACAUCUGGGACCUACAGCUUCGUGCCAUUGUGUCCAAGCUCAUCAGGCAAGCACAAGAAAAUUCGUCCAAGUCCGAGCUUCAGGCAUGGUGUCUCAGGGUGCAGAAGGCUCGCCAGAAUGUUUUAGACUACCUAAGAACUCUGGAUUUUUAUAAUGAAAAGGAGGAGCUGGACUUGGAAAGGCUCAUGCAAGUACAUCUCGACUGCAGCACUGAAGGUGCAAGCUGACAAUUUGAUGCCUCUAAUCUUUCCUUUUUCUCUUUUAUUUUGUGUGUGUGUGUGUGUGCCGGUAAAAGUCAAUGUACACACAGUGGCAUAAUAAAAGUAAUAAAAGUCAGUGCAUAAUCAUGGAUCACAGGGGUGCAUGGGUGCUCUUGCCUCCCCCCCCCCCCCCCCCCCCCCUGUCCCUUCCUGCACUUGUCCAUGGGGGAGGCGAAGCCCUCCUCCUGCCGGAAACCUUACACAGCCCCAAUCAUCCACUGCAUUUUGUUGUGAAGAUGUAUACUGCUGUAAUCUUGUCACAUAGUAGAAUUCAGGGCGAUUUUCCGGGUAUGUCAUUAUUGAAUAACCUACAUAUAGCCAUCAGCAAGUCUUUGUGAAGUUUGCAAGAACCUGUUUAAAAAAACUUCACAGCUCUUUUACAUUGUUUAUUUUCUCUGGAUAACUACCGACUGCAUUUUUUAGUUUACAAUUUGCAAUAUUGGCAAUAUUGGUGCCAAUAUUCCCAAGAUUGGCGCAAGCGCACAUGCGCGUAAGCAUGUGUGGCGCUCAGGGCAGCGAAACCGAAACUGCAUGCCGGCGCAGGCGAAGUCGGCGAAGCAAAACGGCUGAAACGUCCUACUGCCUACGGCAAUUGCGGUUUGCUGCCGCUCGUUUUUUUUUUUUUUCACCCAGUUCACCCACUUCGGCGGCGUUACGGCGGCGGCGCCCGCAGCGCCGACGCGCUUGUACACGCGGAGCCGCUGCGACGGCCAACCAACGCAUAGACAAAGGGCGGGCGAAUUUCAGUGGCACUCACUUCCGCAAUCGGCGCAGGCGCCGCCGCAGCGUCCCCCCCGUCCACUGACGUCUUCCACAUCCGGAGGGUGUUUCCUCGCGUGGUCGCCGUUGCUUUUUUGCUCGCAUCACACGGGCUGCCGUGCACGAUGGUGAGAUGGGCAGCGAGGAACCCGCCAAGACUGGCUACCUACACGUCCUCCACCAGGGAUUCCUCAAGGUAGAGACGCUUGUCGGGUCUGAUCUUGCUGCCCUUGCAGAAGUCGUGGUUGCACAAGUACUGCGCCCUGUACGAUAGCAGCCGGCACGGCGUGAAGCGACUUGAGGUGUAUGACUCGGAGGAGAGCUUCUCUCGCCAUGCC